UGGGGAAUCUUGCACAAUGGGGGAAACCCUGAUGCAGCGACGCCGCGUGAGCGAUGAAGGUUUUCGAAUCGUAAAGCUCUGUCCUAUGGGAAGAUAAUGACGGUACCAUGGGAGGAAGCCCCGGCUAACUACGUGCCAGCAGCCGCGGUAAUACGUAGGGGGCGAGCGUUGUCCGGAAUUACUGGGCGUAAAGGGUUCGCAGGCGGCAUGGCAAGUCCGAUGUAAAAGGCGAAGGCUCAACCUUCGUAAGCAUCGGAAACUGUCAAGCUUGGGUGAAGGAGAGGCAAGUGGAAUUCCUAGUGUAGCGGUGGAAUGCGUAGAUAUUAGGAGGAAUACCGGUGGCGAAGGCGACUUGCUGGACUUCAACUGACGCUGAGGAACGAAAGCGUGGGUAGCAAACAGG
rnacentral:rRNA from 1 species